GACGUAGGGCGCGAGCGUUGUCCGGAUUUAUUGGGCGUAAAGAGCUCGUAGGCGGCUUGUCGCGUCGACUGUGAAAACCCGCGGCUCAACCGUGUGGCUUGCAGUUGAUACGGGCAGGCUAGAGUUCGGUAGGGGAGACUGGAAUUCCUGGUGUAGCGGUGAAAUGCGCAGAUAUCAGGAGGAACACCGGUGGCGAAGGCGGGUCUCUGGGCCGAUACUGACGCUGAGGAGCGAAAGCGUGGGGAGCAAACAGG
rnacentral:rRNA from 1 species